UAGAGCGAGCAGAAGGCAGGGAAUAUAAACCAGGUUUUACAUAAACCAUGUGUGGGAGGAGGACAGAGGCAGCAUACAGUCUCCCAUCAGUUGCUGUAAAAGAAAUCCAAAAUAUUGAUAACUGUGUCAAUAUACCGUAGUCACGAACUUUGUAAUUUUAUUUUUGCUCUCAGAACAUGGUUAUUUUAUUGCAAAUCUGCCAUUUAUUAUUUCAGACACGACAAUCCGGAACGAGUGCCCAGAUGAUGAGGAUAUUCUGAUUUUAGAUGUUGAUGAGGAGCUUCUAUUGGAAAUGGAUAUAUUAUUGAAGAACAUGACAUUGUGAUUUUGUUUUUAAAUGUAGUUUGAUAUCUUUAAUGAACAAAUAUUGAUUAUAUUUUGAUUAUUUUAAGUUAAUAAAUCUUGAAUGUAGUUUGAUUAUUUGUAAUUGAUAAAUCUAGUUGUAUUUUGAUUUCUUUAAAUGAAUAAAUAUUGACUGUAGUUUGAUUAUUUGAAAUUAAUAAAUCUAGUUGUUAUAUAAACAGAAAACAAGAGUCCAUUAUUUUUUUAGAACACUCAGAUGUGUCAGUUGUAUGAUUAAGAAAAAUGUUUCCCAUAUGCUUAAUUAGUUGAGCACUAUGCCACAGAGAUGUAUGAGGCCAUGGAGGUGUAGUUCCACCAUUCUUGACCAUGGCACUAGAUGGAGGUGAGUGGUCACCUUCACUCCCCUCCUGAUUUAUCCCCAGUACAGGCUGGAUAGGAGGCCAAGAUGGGGGCUUCGCAAACUGUUGCUUAUCAGAAUGAGAAUUGUUUUAAAAAAUACAGAACCACUGUGGUGCACUGGCAGCAUUGCUAACUAGAAGCAUCCUUGCCCCUGUCGGGAACCGACUGACUCUGAUUUCUUUUGUAAUAAAGUUAAAAUUACCCCAAGCACAACUUUCAUCACAAGCAUUUUAGAUCACUUUUUGGUCAUGGCAACAACACAUGGUUAUCGUCUGGAAAACGGAUGAAAUUAAAAUAUUCAAAAUGGAAAAGAAGUUCACGCUGUUCAUUAGAAUUAAAAGCAACUAGCAAGACUUAGAUGAAGGAGUCAUUAUAUUAGUUUGUUUCCUUGAGAAUAUACCUGUCUUUUGUCUGGAAUAAAAUAAGCUUUCUUUGUUAUUUCACAAUAUUAGCUGAAACUUCAAAGGAACACCAAGCUAUGGAAUUAAAAUAUACUCAUGUAAUUAGAAGAUAUGUGGUGAGUGAGUAUUUGAUACUGCAAAGCAUGGAUAUAUCCUGUAUGUUAUCUUUUUUCUUUUUGGUAGGGUUCAGGGGAAGAAUAGUAAGUCACUACUUUGCCCCCCAGAGUUUGCCUGCAAAAGAGGUUUACUACCUGAACUUCCAUUCUUCAGAGAUAUUAAAAAAUUGGAAUAUUCGUAGAAAUCAGUAUGAAUAACUCAGUGUCAGUGUGAUGGAAGAAAUAGCAGGAGAUAUUGGCAAUGGAGGAUGUUCACACCAGUUCAUGAAUGAUGACAGCGCUCAGUUGUUCUUCUCCAUCAUUACAGUUAACAGGAAUAGUAUCAGAGGGAUCAGAGCUAUCAGUUCCCAAGACCUUUGACCUACACCCACAAGCACAAGAUUGCUGAUUUCAAUGAGUUGAACCAACUGGCUAGCCAAUUAAAACCAGGGUAUUGUACCGAUC